rnacentral:lncRNA from 1 species
UAAAUUAAACGCGCUGUGAAAGCAAAAGAAUUGAUCUCGUAAAUAGACCCUUUGUUGAAAACAUGCGGAUCCUCUGGAGUGGGUUGGGUCAACGUGCAGGUUUCGUCAAAACGACGUCGUUUUGACAUCUGAAAAAUCAGCCCAAAACAGUGUUGUUUUACAUGAGCUAUAAAUAAAUAAAAAUAACAAAAAAAUUCAUUUUAACCCCAAUUUAAAAAAAAACCAAAAAACUUUAUUUUUUUCUCUGAUUUCGUCUAUAGUCCGGCUGUAGUGGCCCAAUUUCGCCCGGGUCCAUACCAAAAUACCAAAACAACUAAAAAGCACAAAUACUAAAUGUCCAAGUCCCUUUUUACAAAUAAUAAAACCCAACCCUAACCAUUAAACCCAAACCUCAGCCCAAUUACUAAGACCAACCCAAAAUAACCUAACCCAAUACCCCAUGGCCCAAAACAAAAACAUAGCCAGGAAACCUAGCAGCUUCUGCUUGCACCGCAACGACUCCAACAGCCCCAAUCUCCAUGAACUCCGUACGCCCCACGCCCGUACAUGCCAGCUGCCUUGCCACGAUACCUGGUACUUACAAACAAAUGAAGGAACGACAGCAAAUAACAGCAACGACAGAAAAAUGAAAAAAAAUCUCUUUGUAAUCUCAUUUUUUCUUUUUUAUUUCGACUAUAAAAAGCCAAAGAAAAGACAAUGUUUACACAGAGAUCACGCACAAAAAAAAUCAAUACAAACGCAUACAUACAUUUGAAAAAAAAUAUUCAAAAAGAUUGAAGGUGGCUCUUCGAUUCAUAUUUUUUUUUGGGUUUUAUUUUCAGUUUUUUCUUUUGUAGAUAAAAAUUUUAGUAAAAUAUAAAAGAGGAGAAAAUUUAACUGUAUUUUGGGGGUUUCGGACUGGUGCCAUGGCGGAGGCGGAGGCAUCGAACGCCGAUGAACGCCGAAAUCGGCUAAGACUGAGACGCAGUGGGCAUCGUCUCUCUCUCUCCCUCUUCUCCCUUUCUUUUUUCCCCUUUAUGCAAUGAUGAAAUAAUCUGUUAAUUGAUUUUUAAGGCAGAUUUUAGCCUUUAUAUGUGUUUAAAAAUGACGUCGUUUUAAGCUGGGGAUAUUGGCGUUAAAACGGCGUCGUUUCAUGAUGCAACCCGAUUGC